rnacentral:rRNA from 1 species
UAGCGGCGGACGGCGGAGUAACACGUGGCUAACCUGUCCUCGGGAGGGGGAUAACUCUGGGAAACCGGAGCUAAUACCCCAUGAGGUCCCACUGGUCAACAGUGGGAUGAAAGCCGGCCUCCGGGCUGGUGCCUGAGGAGGGGGCCACGGCCUAUCAGCUAGUUGGCGGGAUAAAAGCCCACCAAGGCGAAGACAGGUAGGGGGCGUGAGAGCGUGAUCCCCCCGAGGGACACUGAGACACGGGUCCCACUCCUACGGGAGGCAGCAGGCUAGAAAUUUGGGCAAUGGGGGAAACCCUGACCCAGCGACGCCGCGUGCGGGAAGAAGCCCUUCGGGGUGUAAACCGCUGUCAAGGAGGAAGAGGUCCUGGUGAGCGAAUACCUCAUCAGGAUGACGGUACUCCUUGAGGAAGCCCAGGCUAACCUCGUGCCAGCAGCCGCGGUAAUACGGGGUGGGCAAGCGUUGCCCGGAAUCACUGGGCUUAAAGGGGAUGCAGGCGGCUCGGUGUGUCGGGCAUGUAAUCCCAAGGCUUAACCUUGGGGCUGUGCUCGAAACUACCGGGCUUGAGGGCGGGAGAGGAGAACGGAACUCCCGGUGUAGCGGUGAAAUGCGUAGAUAUCGGGGGGAACGCCGGUGGCGAAAGCGGUUCUCUGGCCCGUCCCUGACGCUCAUAUCCGAAAGCCAGGGUAGCGAAAGGGGAUUAGAUACCCCCGUAGUCCUGGCCAUAAAC